GGCCAGACUCCUACGGGAGGCAGCAGUGGGGAAUAUUGGGCAAUGGGCGCAAGCCUGACCCAGCAACGCCGCGUGAAGGAAGAAGGUUUUCGGGUUGUAAACUUCUUUUAUCAGGGACGAAGCAAGUGACGGUACCUGAUGAAUAAGCCACGGCUAACUACGUGCCAGCAGCCGCGGUAAUACGUAGGUGGCGAGCGUUAUCCGGAUUUACUGGGUGUAAAGGGCGUGUAGGCGGGAAUGCAAGUCAGAUGUGAAAACUAUGGGCUCAACCCAUAGCCUGCAUUUGAAACUGUAUUUCUUGAGUGCUGGAGAGGCAAUCGGAAUUCCGUGUGUAGCGGUGAAAUGCGUAGAUAUCAGGAGGAACACCGGUGGCGAAGGCGGCCUGCUGGACUGCAACUGACGUUGAGGCCCGAAAGCGUGGGGAGCAAACAGGAUUAGAUACCCCUGUA
rnacentral:rRNA from 1 species